CAUUUGUGAGCACAAAAGAGAAGAUGUGGGCAUUCAGGAAGCCUUUUCAGAAAAGGGCGCCUCAGGCAUUCUGGCUGGAGAUUCUCCUGAGGUCCGGAAGCUGAGAGCCUCCUACUUCGUGAUUCUCAAAGCACAGACACUGGACCUGUUGCAGCAACACCACCUGGAAAUGAGCUGGAAGUGAAAUUCCCUAGCCCCACCCCAGAUGUAAUGAAGGAGAAUUUGUUGGGGGAGGGUGUGAACAGCAGCGAUCUGUUUUUAACCAGCCCUCUGAGGGAUUCUGGUGCCAUCAAUUUGGAUAACCACUGCUUUAACCAGUAGCUUUUCCUGUUGGAAAUCCCAGGCCCCUACUCCUUCCCUUCAGUCAAACCCUGUACACAGCUCUACCAUGGCACUCAUUACCCUACCUUUAAA